ensembl:lncRNA
UAUUAAUACUUUAUUCAAGCUCACUGGAUACCCACAGUGCUAAAGGACAAUGAACGAAUGAUUUGGUUGUUGUGGAUUAGAGCCGUACUAUGUGUCAGAAUACUAAUGAUAGCACAUAAUCCUCCCUUCAAAAAUGACAGGAUUCAUUAAAAAAAUGUAUAAGUUAAAUUUUAAGACAACCACUCUGGACACAUGGGCACCUUCUCAUGUUGGAGGAUGAAGGAAGAGAUAAUUAAUGUAUUUUUAGUGGAAGUAGAAACAGGAAGGUCAAAUACUAGACAAUAACAACCACAUCAGUCUACUUUCAUUUUGUUAAGCUCAGACGUCUUCACAAAGUGUUGAUACAGCAAUUAUGGGUUUGGCCUGUAUUACAGGAAUACAUUUUGGGAAUGGCGUAGCAGGAUGUCACGAUUGGCGUAGUGGUGGAGAGGAAGGAACCAGGCGCAGGCAGAGUGGCAGUCCAUGUUGUGAUUUUAAUUGAAAAGAACACCGAGCACUGAAACACACAAAACAUAAACAAAAGGGCUGGCUAUGCAGCAAAACGACACUCACCCCGGCCGAGAACAAACCUAGACACAACUAUGACCAACAAAUGAGGGGAACAGAGGAGCAACAUUGAAACACAUACUAAUGACUGAAUUGGGACCUGGUGUGAGUGAUAAUCAAAGACAAGACACAUGACAAGUCCGGGAUUUGUUCGUGGAUGAAAAGAAAAGCGGGAAAAGCGGGAGAUGACAGUGCCUCACAAAUAUCCUCCACUUCAAUGCCUCCACAAAUUCCAUUAAUAAUCUGCCAUUUCCAGAAAUAAUAGUCAUUUACAACAUUAAC